rnacentral:rRNA from 1 species
UACGUAGGGUGCGAGCGUUGCCCGGAUUUAUUGGGCGUAAAGAGCGCGCAGGCGGUCGAUCAAGUCGAGUGUGAAAGCCCCCGGCUCAACUGGGGAGGGUCAUUCGAUACUGAUCGACUCGAAGGCAGGAGAGGGUAGUGGAAUUCCCGGUGUAGUGGUGAAAUGCGUAGAUAUCGGGAGGAACACCAGUGGCGAAGGCGACUACCUGGCCUGUUCUUGACGCUGAGGCGCGAAAGCUAGGGGAGCAAACGGG